UUUCUAACUAAAUCGAUCUAUCUAUCUAUCUACCAUCUCAUAGCAACCACCUAGAACAACCUAGCAACCGCCUAGCAACCACACAAAUCACCCUGGCAACAUCCUAGUAACCAGCCCGAGUGCCUUAGCAACCACAUAGGAACACCCUAGCAACCACCCAGAAUUCCUUAGCAACCGUAUAGCAACACCUUAGCAACCACCCCUAGUACCUUAGCAACCACAAAGCAAAACCCCAGCAACCAUAUAAAACCCUUGCAACCACUCAGAGUACCCUGACUCUAUCUAUCUAUCUAUCUAUCUAUCUAUCUAUCUGUCUGUCUGUCUGUCUGUCUGUCUUUUAAACUACUAAACUAAAACUUAAACUUUCAAACUUUCAAACUUCAAACUUUUAAAACUACUUCAAACUUUCUGGACCGGCUUUUUCAAGCCAACUUAAAGUUUGUCUAAAAACUUUUUUAUUUUAUUAUUAUUAUUAUUAUUUAUUUUUAUUUUUUUUUACACACAUUAUAUGACUGUCUUUAAUUUUAAGUUACAUAAAAAUUGACAAUUACAAUUCUCAACCGCUAGAUGGCAACUGUGGCUCUACUGAGACAUGACUACUGGCAACGCGAGACUUGUUAGUUAGUAGAGAUCACUGUUCCCAGAUCUCGCGAUGAACAUUUCCACCAUUUUACAACUGUCGGACAGCAAGCAAGAGCAAAUGUUGAAGCAAAUUCUUUCCUGCUUUUGGUCUUGCUAUUUUCUUACUCAUAGUUUUCAGUCAGGCGACUGGAGCAGAGACCUGGAGGGCAAAACAUCCAUAGAACUGCAGGACAGGCCUGUCAAUUGCGUCUCAAAAAAGCACCCGAGCCAUCACGGACAUGGAAAGGUCUUGACACCUU